CCUACGGGUGGCAGCAGUGAGGAAUAUUGGUCAAUGGGCGCGAGCCUGAACCAGCCAAGUCGCGUGAGGGAAGACGGUCCUAUGGAUUGUAAACCUCUUUUGUCGGGGAGCAAAAGACGCCACGCGUGGCGUUCCGAGAGUACCUGAAGAAAAAGCAUCGGCUAACUCCGUGCCAGCAGCCGCGGUAAUACGGAGGAUGCGAGCGUUAUCGGGAUUUCUUGGGGUAAAAGGGUGCCCAGGGGGAAGAUCAAGUCAGCGGUAAAAUUGAGAGGCUCAACCUCUUCGAGCCGUUGAAACUGGUUGUCUUGAGUGAGUGAGAGGUAGGCGGAAUGCGUGGUGUAGCGGUGAAAUGCAUAGAUAUCACGCAGAACUCCGGUGGCGAAGGCGGCAUACCGGCGCUCAACUGACGCUCAUGCACGAAAGUGUGGGUAUCGAACAGGAUUAGAUACCCUAGUAGUC
rnacentral:rRNA from 1 species